GAAAUGCGAUAAGUAAUGUGAAUUGCAGAAUUCAGUGAAUCAUCGAGUCUUUGAACGCACAUUGCGCCCCCUGGUAUUCCGGGGGGCAUGCCUGUCCGAGCGUCAUUGCUGCCCUCAAGCACGGCUUGUGUGUUGGGCCCCGUCCCCUCCCCCGGGGACGGGCCCGAAAGGCAGCGGCGGCACCGCGUCCGAUCCUCGAGCGUAUGGGGCUUUGUCACCCGCUCUGUAGGCCCGGCCGGCGCCAGCCGACGCUGAAAAGCAACCAACUAUUUCUCCAGGUUGACGUAUGGUCUGGGCCGGCCUGCCGAUCGUGGGCACGAGCGCGUGACAGAGUCCCCAUGCGCUGGGCCACGGUUCGGCG
rnacentral:misc_RNA from 1 species